AGAGUUUGAUCCUGGCUCAGGACGAACGCUGGCGGCGUGCUUAACACAUGCAAGUCGAGCGGGGAUUGAUGAAGUGCUUGCACGGAUUCAAUUCUAGCGGCGGACGGGUGAGUAACGCGUGAACAAUCUGUCCCAGACAGGGGGAUAACACUUGGAAACAGGUGCUAAUACCGCAUAAGACCACGGGAUCACAUGUUCCUGGGGUAAAAGAUUUAUCGGUCUGGGGUGAGUUCGCGUCCGAUUAGCUAGUUGGUGAGGUAACGGCCCACCAAGGCGACGAUCGGUAGCCGACCUGAGAGGGUGAUCGGCCACAUUGGAACUGAGACACGGUCCAAACUCCUACGGGAGGCAGCAGUGGGGAAUAUUGGGCAAUGGGCGCAAGCCUGACCCAGCAACGCCGCGUGAAGGAAGAAGGUUUUCGGAUUGUAAACUUCUGUCCUCAAGGACGAAAACAAUGACGGUACUUGAGGAGGAAGCCCCGGCUAACUACGUGCCAGCAGCCGCGGUAAUACGUAGGGGGCGAGCGUUGUCCGGAAUGACUGGGCGUAAAGGGCGUGUAGGCGGCCGAUUAAGUCUGGAGUGAAAGUCCUGCUUUCAAGGUGGGAAUUGCUUUGGAGACUGGUUGGCUUGAGUGCGGAAGAGGUAAGUGGAAUUCCCAGUGUAGCGGUGAAAUGCGUAGAGAUUGGGAGGAACACCAGUGGCGAAGGCGACUUACUGGGCCGUAACUGACGCUGAGGCGCGAAAGCGUGGGGGAGCGAACAGGAUUAGAUACCCUGGUAGUCCACGCUGUAAACGAUGAAUGCUAGGUGUUGCGGGUAUCGACCCCUGCAGUGCCGGAGUAAACGCAAUAAGCAUUCCGCCUGGGGAGUACGG
rnacentral:rRNA from 1 species